UAUUUCUAAUAAAUAAGUUUAUUCCUUUAGAAUGAAAAUCUAACGUGCAAUCUACACUAUAGAAAC
rnacentral:tRNA from 1 species